ensembl:ncRNA W08D2.11 ncRNA
CACCUCCUUUUUCUCCAGGGAAUCCAUCUGGUCCUACCUUUCCUUGGAAUCCAUUAGGUCCCAUCUCUCCUGGUUUUCCUGGAUCCCCGUCUUUUCCUGGUUGUCCUGGUUGUCCAUCGGAUCCCUUCAUUCCACGUGCUCCUGGAUGUCCCAUUGGUCCAGGAGAUCCCGGCGGUCCCUGUGGACAAUGGAAGCACGUUCCAGUUCCCUGUGCUUGUGGUUCCACAUCUAGUGAGUCCAGUCCCGGUUUACCAUCAAGUCCAGGAACUCCAUUUGGCCCUGGUAGUCCUGGUGCACCCU